rnacentral:rRNA from 1 species
UGGGGAAUAUUGGACAAUGGGCGCAAGCCUGAUCCAGCAAUGCCGCGUGUGUGAAGAAGGCCUUCGGGUUGUAAAGCACUUUUAUCAGGAGCGAAACUACUGUCGGCUAAUACCCGGCGGAACUGACGGUACCUGAGGAAUAAGCACCGGCUAACUUCGUGCCAGCAGCCGCGGUAAUACGAAGGGUGCAAGCGUUAAUCGGAAUUACUGGGCGUAAAGCGUGCGUAGGCGGUUGUUUAAGUCUGCUGUGAAAUCCCCGGGCUCAACCUGGGAAUUGCAUUCGAGACUGAAUAGCUAGGGUACGGUAGAGGGAAGUGGAAUUUCCGGUGUAGCGGUGAAAUGCGUAGAUAUCGGAAGGAACAUCAGUGGCGAAAGCGACUUCCUGGACCAGUACCGACGUUCAGGCACGAAAGCGUGGGGAGCAAA